rnacentral:rRNA from 1 species
GACGAACGCUGGCGGCGUGCUUAACACAUGCAAGUCGUACGGAAGGGCCCUGCUUGCAGGGUGCUCGAGUGGCGAACGGGUGAGUAACACGUGGGUGAUCUGCCCUGCACUUUGGGAUAAGCCUGGGAAACUGGGUCUAAUACCGGAUAGGACUACAUGCUGCAUGGUGUGUGGUGGAAAGUUCUUCGGAGUGGUGUGGGAUGAGCCCGCGGCCUAUCAGCUUGUUGGUGGGGUGAUGGCCUACCAAGGCUGCGACGGGUAGCCGGCCUGAGAGGGU